AGCGAACGCUGGCGGCAGGCCUAACACAUGCAAGUCGAACGAAGUCUUCGGACUUAGUGGCGGACGGGUGAGUAACACGUGGGAACGUGCCUUUAGGUUCGGAAUAACUCAGGGAAACUUGUGCUAAUACCGAAUGUGCCCUUCGGGGGAAAGAUUUAUCGCCUUUAGAGCGGCCCGCGUCUGAUUAGCUAGUUGGUGAGGUAAAGGCUCACCAAGGCGACGAUCAGUAGCUGGUCUGAGAGGAUGAUCAGCCACAUUGGGACUGAGACACGGCCCAAACUCCUACGGGAGGCAGCAGUGGGGAAUCUUGCGCAAUGGGCGAAAGCCUGACGCAGCCAUGCCGCGUGAAUGAUGAAGGUCUUAGGAUUGUAAAAUUCUUUCACCGGGGACGAUAAUGACGGUACCCGGAGAAGAAGCCCCGGCUAACUUCGUGCCAGCCGCCGCCGUAACAC
rnacentral:rRNA from 1 species